rnacentral:rRNA from 1 species
GAUGAACGCUGGCGGCGUGCCUAACACAUGCAAGUCGAGCGAGAAGGUGAUGACUGAUUCUUCGGAUGAAGGAUUCACUGGAGAGCGGCGGACGGGUGAGUAACGCGUGGGUAAUCUGCCUUGUGGAGGGGGAUAACAUUCUGAAAAGAAUGCUAAUACCGCAUAAGCAUACGAGAUCGCAUGAUCAAGUGUGAAAAACUCCGGUGCCACAAGAUGAGCCCGCGUAAGAUUAGCUAGUUGGUAAGGUAAUGGCUUACCAAGGCGACGAUCUUUAGCCGACCUGAGAGGGUGAUCGGCCACAUUGGGACUGAGACACGGCCCAAACUCCUACGGGAGCAGCAGUGGGAAUCUUAGACAAUGGAGGCAACCUGAUCCAGCCAUGCCGCGUGAGUGACGAA